rnacentral:rRNA from 1 species
AUUGAACGCUGGCGGCAGGCCUAACACAUGCAAGUCGAGCGGAUGAAGGGAGCUUGCUCCUGGAUUCAGCGGCGGACGGGUGAGUAAUGCCUAGGAAUCUGCCUGGUAGUGGGGGAUAACGUCCGUAAACGGGCGCUAAUACCGCAUACGUCCUGAUGGAGAACGUGGGGGAUCUUCGGACCUCACGCUAUCAGAUGAGCCUAGGUCGGAUUAGCUAGUUGGUGGGGUAAAGGCCUACCAAGGCGACGAUCCGUAACUGGUCUGAGAGGAUGAUCAGUCACACUGGAACUGAGACACGGUCCAGACUCCUACGGGAGGCAGCAGUGGGGAAUAUUGGACAAUGGGCGAAAGCCUGAUCCAGCAAUGCCGCGUGUGUGAAGAAGGUCUUCGGAUUGUAAAGCACUUUAAGUUGGGAGGAAGGGAAGUAAGUGAAUACCUGGCUGUUUUGACGGUACCAACAGAAUAAGCACCGGCUAACUUCGUG